GGCCUAGUGGCCCAAUGGCAAGGCGUCUGACUACGAAUCAGGAGAUUGCAGGUUCGAUCCCUGCCUAGGUCA
rfam:Pseudallescheria apiosperma strain IHEM 14462 SEQ_SAPIO_0066, whole genome shotgun sequence.